rnacentral:tRNA from 1 species
GUGUCAGAGAGCUCAGUCGGUAGAGCACCAGACUCUUAAUCUGGCUGUCGCGGGUUCGAGCCCCGCAUCGGGCUGACACA